GAGAGAGAGAGAGAGAUAUCUAUUUAUUUUCUUUUCUCUAAAAAAAUUUAGAUCCUAAAUGUUUGAUUAUUACUCAAUUUUUUAUUAUGCAUCAAGACAUCUUUAAAGCAAUUCACAGUUGUUAAGAUAUUUCAAACUAUUAUUAGAAUACUCCAUUAAUGUUUUUCAAAACUUAUUUCCUCAAAUGCAAAUAAUUAUCUAUAAAAGUUAUUUAUUAACAAAAAAAAAAUCAUCAGAUUUAUAAUAUUAAAGAAAAAGUACUAAAAUUCCAAGACAGUUUAAAAUUUUGAUAGCUAAAUUCGAAAGUGGCGAUUUUUUAUUAAUAAUUUUAUUACUAUAUUUAAAAUUAUAAAAUAUUUUAAAGGCGAUUACAAUACCUCAAUAAAGUGUAGAAUUAAAAUUCAUUAUUAUUAUUAAAGCCUGGCUAUUGGGCUUCUUCUGAUUAUGUGUGUAGUUGCAUUUAAUAAUUCACACACAAAACAAAAAAGACAUGAUAAAAUAACAAAAUAGGUUAGAGAUCUCUCCCAUAUUUUUUAAAAGCCAAUAUAUAUAUUAUAUUCAAUAAAUAUUAUUGCAAUUAAAAAUAAAAUUAAAAAUAACUCUUAUAUACCUAUAAAAUAUUAUCUGUACUUGAUAAUUUAUUGUGAAAUAAAUCAUAGAUAAAUGAUUGAAGUUUGAAUUAUCUUUCAAAUAAGGGUUUGGAUUUUAAUAUUUAAAAUUUACAAAAAUUAUAUUAAUUUUAAAAAAUACAUAUGGAACUAAAAGCCUUUUUGAACGAUCUGAUUCUGUUGAAAUGCAAGAGAAUUUUAUGGAUUUAUGUGAUUUAAAAAUUAAACUUAUCUGACUUUUAAACAUUUUUCUCACACCAAUGCAUUCUUAAAUGUUAUAUUAUGAUACAACUAUAACCAAAGUAGCUUCAAUGAGCACAAAAGGCAUUCUUCAAUCAUUUUUUCAUGUAAAAUUAACCAAUCUAUUGUAAAAAAGAUAACCACAAAAAUUUGAUAAAAAAUUAGUCUUAUUUCAAACAAAUAAU
rnacentral:lncRNA from 1 species